AGCGGCGGACGGCCCAGUAACACGUGGGUAACCUGCCUGUAAGACUGGGAUAACUCCCGGAAACCGGAGCUAAUACCGGAUAGUUCCUUGAACCGCAUGGUUCAAGGAUGAAAGACGGUUUCGGCUGUCACUUACAGAUGGACCCGCGGCGCAUUAGCUAGUUGGUGGGGUAAUGGCUCACCAAGGCGACGAUGCGUAGCCGACCUGAGAGGGUGAUCGGCCACACUGGGACUGAGACACGGCCCAGACUCCUACGGGAGGCAGCAGUAGGGAAUCUUCCGCAAUGGACGAAAGUCUGACGGAGCAACGCCGCGUGAGUGAUGAAGGUUUUCGGAUCGUAAAGCUCUGUUGUUAGGGAAGAACAAGUGCGAGAGUAACUGCUCGCACCUUGACGGUACCUAACCAGAAAGCCACGGCUAACUACGUGCCAGCAGCCGCGGUAAUACGUAGGUGGCAAGCGUUGUCCGGAAUUAUUGGGCGUAAAGGGCUCGCAGGCGGUUUCUUAAGUCUGAUGUGAAAGCCCCCGGCUCAACCGGGGAGGGUCAUUGGAAACUGGGAAACUUGAGUGCAG
rnacentral:rRNA from 2 species